AGACGGAUUAGAAGAUGAGGUAGCUCAGGUAGUGAAGAAGAAGGGGGAAGCAAAGGACACACAGGAUGCAAAUGGGAGAGGAAGGAAGGAAGGAACAAGAACAGAGGUGAAGGAAACACAGGCCGAAAUGGUAAGGGGUUUAGUUCUCCAGAUGGAAAGUGCCAGGUGAGCCCUGCUGUUAAUCUAGCCUCUUCCCUUCAUCUUUCUUC
rnacentral:lncRNA from 1 species